UACGAGAGGCGCAAACGUUAUUCGGAUUUACUGGGCUUAAAGAGUUCGUAGGCGGCGCAGAAAGUAGGGUGUGAAAGCCCUCGGCUCAACCGAGGAAUUGCGCUCUAAACUACUGUGCUCGAGGGACCUAGAGGUGAGCGGAACUGAUGGUGGAGCGGUGAAAUGCGUUGAUAUCGACAGGAACGCCGGUGGCGAAAGCGGACCGCUGGCCCUCUUCUGACGCUGAGGCGCGAAAGCCAGGGGAGCGAACGGG
rnacentral:rRNA from 1 species